rnacentral:rRNA from 1 species
GAUGAACGCUGGCGGCGUGCUUAACACAUGCAAGUCGAACGGAAAGGCUCCUCCUUGCAGGGGCACUCGAGUGGCGAACGGGUGAGUAACACGUGGGUGAUCUGCCCUGCACUUCGGGAUAAGCCUGGGAAACUGGGUCUAAUACCGGAUAGGACCCUCGUUUAGUGUGGGUGGUGGAGAGUUUUUUCGGUGUGGGAUGAGCUCGCGGCCUAUCAGCUUGUUGGUGGGGUAAUGGCCUACCAAGGCGUCGACGGGUAGCCGGCCUGAGAGGGUGAACGGCCACAUUGGGACUGAGAAACGGCUCAGACUCCUACAGGAGGCAGCAGUGGGGAAUAUUGUACAAUGGACGGAAGCCUGAUGCAGCGACGCCGCGUGGGGGAUGACGGCCUUCGGGUUGUAAACUGCUUUCGCCAGUGACGAAGCGAUAGUGACGGUACCUGGAUGAGAAGCACCGGCUAACUACGUG